rnacentral:lncRNA from 1 species
GUCUGCAGGUGACCGAGCCAGCCCUGCACCUCAGGUGGCUGAGCUGUCUGGCACAUGCAAAGGUCCUGAGGUGCCUCUGAAGAACUAGCAGAUGUUGCAUGUUGUGAGAUUGGAGAAGGCGCAGAGGUGAGAAAGGCCAGAGAUCGGGGUGAGCGGGCAUGGAAACUAUCCCGGGACCCACGGGCCGCCCCUGGAGGCUUCAGAGCCAAGCAUGAUGAGGUCAGAUUCGUGUUUUGGCAAAUAUCUCUUGAGUGGCUGCUGGGAGGGUCAGUGAGGAGGGCAGGGAGGAAGGGAGGUCAGCAGGAGGUUGUUGGUGUAAUCCACAGGGUGGCCCGGCUGUGGGCUGGGGAGGUCCCGGCGCUGGAGAAAAGUGGGGGGAGGUGGGCGGCAGAGAACUCUCGGGGCUGCUGGGAAGACACUGGGACAUCCGGGUGCUCCUCAAAGCCAGCGCUCGCGGACUUGCGGACUUGGGUUUCUUGGGUUUCG